rnacentral:rRNA from 1 species
UGCGAGGGCAUAUCGCCCUCGCUUUUCUCGACCGUAGGGAGGUCGACGAAUAAGCGCUGGGCAAGACCGGUGCCAGCCGCCGCGGUAAUACCGGCAGCGCAAGUGAUGGCCGAUCUUAUUGGGCCUAAAGCGUCCGUAGCUGGCCAGGCAAGUCCAUCGGGAAAUCCACCCGCUCAACGGGUGGGCGCCCGGUGGAAAUUGCCCGGCUCGGGACCGGAAGACCCAACGGGUACGUCCAGGGUAGGAGUGAAAUCCUGUAAUCCUGGACGGACCGCCGAUGGCGAAAGCACGUUGGGAAGACGGAUCCGACAGUGAGGGACGAAAGCUAGGGUCUCGAACCGGAUUAAAUACCCGGGUAGUCCUAGCUGUAAACGAUGCUCGCUAGGUGUGGCACAGGCUACGCGCCUGUGCUGUGCCGUAGGGAACCCGCUAAGCGAGCCGCCUGGGAAGUACGUCUGCAAGGAUGAAACUUAAAGGAAUUGGCGGGGG